rnacentral:rRNA from 1 species
UAGUCCACGCCGUAAACGAUGUCGACUUGGAGGUUGUUCCCUUGAGGAGUGGCUUCCGGAGCUAACGCGUUAAGUCGACCGCCUGGGGAGUACGGCCGCAAGGUUAAAACUCAAAUGAAUUGACGGGGGCCCGCACAAGCGGUGGAGCAUGUGGUUUAAUUCGAUGCAACGCGAAGAACCUUACCUACUCUUGACAUCCAGAGAACUUAGCAGAGAUGCUUUGGUGCCUUCGGGAACUCUGAGACAGGUGCUGCAUGGCUGUCGUCAGCUCGUGUUGUGAAAUGUUGGGUUAAGUCCCGCAACGAGCGCAACCCUUAUCCUUUGUUGCCAGCGGUUAGGCCGGGAACUCAAAGGAGACUGCCAGUGAUAAACUGGAGGAAGGUGGGGAUGACGUCAAGUCAUCAUGGCCCUUACGAGUAGGGCUACACACGUGCUACAAUGGCGCAUACAAAGAGAAGCGACCUCGCGAGAGCAAGCGGACCUCAUAAAGUGCGUCGUAGUCCGGAUUGGAGUCUGCAACUCGACUCCAUGAAGUCGGAAUCGCUAGUAAUCGUAGAUCAGAAUGCUACGGUGAAUACGUUCCCGGGCCUUGUACACACCGCCCGUCACACCAUGGGAGUGGGUUGCAAAAGAAGUAGGUAGCUUAACCUUCGGGAGGGCGCUUACCACUUUGUGAUUCAUGACUGGGG